rnacentral:rRNA from 1 species
AUGAACGCUAGCUACAGGCUUAACACAUGCAAGUCGAGGGGCAUCAGGAAGAAAGCUUGCUUUCUUUGCUGGCGACCGGCGCACGGGUGAGUAACACGUAUCCAACCUGCCCUUUACUCGGGGAUAGCCUUUCGAAAGAAAGAUUAAUACCCGAUAGUAUAAUGAUUCCGCAUGGUUUGAUUAUUAAAGGAUUCCGGUAAAGGAUGGGGAUGCGUUCCAUUAGGUUGUUGGUGAGGUAACGGCUCACCAAGCCUUCGAUGGAUAGGGGUUCUGAGAGGAAGGUCCCCCACAUUGGAACUGAGACACGGUCCAAACUCCUACGGGAGGCAGCAGUGAGGAAUAUUGGUCAAUGGGCGAUGGCCUGAACCAGCCAAGUAGCGUGAAGGAUGACUGCCCUAUGGGUUGUAAACUUCUUUUAUAUUAGAAUAAAGUGCAGUAUGUAUACUGUUUUGUAUGUAUAAUAUGAAUAAGGAUCGGCUAACUCCGUGCCAGCAGCCGCGGUAAUACGGAGGAUCCGAGCGUUAUCCGGAUUUAUUGGGUUUAAAGGGAGCGUAGAUGGAUAUUUAAGUCAGUUGUGAAAGUUUGCGGCUCAACCGUAAAAUUGCAGUUGAUACUGUCAGUCUUGAGUACAGUAGAGGUGGGCGGAAUUCGUGGUGUAGCGGUGAAAUGCUUAGAUAUCACGAAGAACUCCGAUUGCGAAGGCAGCUCACUGGACUGCAACUGACACUGAUGCUCGAAAGUGUGGGUAUCAAACAGGAUUAGAUACCCUGGUAGUCCACACAGUAAACGAUGAAUACUCGCUGUUUGCGAUAUACAGUAAGCGGCCAAGCGAAAGCAUUAAGUAUUCCACCUGGGGAGUACGCCGGCAACGGUGAAACUCAAAGGAAUUGACGGGGGCCCGCACAAGCGGAGGAACAUGUGGUUUAAUUCGAUGAUACGCGAGGAACCUUACCCGGGCUUAAAUUGCAGUGGAAUGAUGUGGAAACAUGUCAGUGAGCAAUCACCGCUGUGAAGGUGCUGCAUGGUUGUCGUCAGCUCGUGCCGUGAGGUGUCGGCUUAAGUGCCAUAACGAGCGCAACCCUUAUCUUUAGUUACUAACAGGUCAUGCUGAGGACUCUGGAGAGACUGCCGUCGUAAGAUGUGAGGAAGGUGGGGAUGACGUCAAAUCAGCACGGCCCUUACGUCCGGGGCUACACACGUGUUACAAUGGGGGGUACAGAAGGCAGCUACCUGGUGACAGGAUGCUAAUCCCAAAAGCCUCUCUCAGUUCGGAUCGAAGUCUGCAACCCGACUUCGUGAAGCUGGAUUCGCUAGUAAUCGCGCAUCAGCCACGGCGCGGUGAAUACGUUCCCGGGCCUUGUACACACCGCCCGUCAAGCCAUGGGAGCCGGGGGUACCUGAAGUACGUAACCGCAAGGAGCGUCCUAGGGUAAAACUGGUGACUGGGGCU